UACGUAGGGCGCAAGCGUUAUCCGGAAUUAUUGGGCGUAAAGGGCUCGUAGGCGGUUUGUCACGUCGGGAGUGAAAACUCGGGGCUUAACCCCGAGCCUGCUUCCGAUACGGGCAGACUAGAGGUAUGCAGGGGAGAACGGAAUUCCUGGUGUAGCGGUGAAAUGCGUAGAUAUCGGGAGGAACACCAGUGGCGAAGGCGACUUCCUGGCCUGUUCUUGACGCUGAGGCGCGAAAGCUAGGGUAGCAAACGGG
rnacentral:rRNA from 1 species